rnacentral:lncRNA from 10 species
GUGAGUCUCAUGAGAUCUGUUGGUUUUAUAAGCAUCUGGCAUUUCCCCUGCUUGCACUCACUCUGUCGUGCCACCCUGUGAGGAAGAUGCCUGCUUCUUCUUCACCUUCUGCCAUGACUCUCAAGGGGCCCUUUGUUGGUGGCUGCCAGUUUCACUUCCUGACCACCUGUCCAAGAGUCUCAGAGUCCAUGAAACAGCAACAGGAAGGUGAACAUCAAGAUACAUGCUGCUCUGGGAAGGGAAUGACCUUGCGUGAAGUGGCUGAAGCUGACCCUGAAGGAGCUGACAGCUGGAGGCUCUGUGCUCACUGUAGUCCGUUCAUCUGGGUAGCAGGUCUUCCUUGAAAGGGGAUCAAGGUGGGUGCAGCCCUGCAGCCCUGCACCACAGAGCCUGGCUUGGUAAGUAUGCGCUGGAUUUGAUCUCCACUGGCCCCUUCAGCUGGGUGCUGUUGUGCAGAGUAAAGCCUGUACAUCCAGAGGCAUAGCCCUGCUUGGUGUGCUCAUGGUUUAUGAGGAUGUGUCCUUCUCAUUUUGCUCAGCAUUUGGUGGGCCUGGGCCUUUCAUCCCAAGUGUUUUGGACCUUCGUUCUGGGAAAUUUCCUUCUUUUCUUCUUGCUGUCUGUAAGUUCUGUGGGUCAUAGCAGUUAACAGGUUUCACUUAAAGGCAUGAGGCAGAGAGUAUGUACACAAGUGAGGUUACUCUUUUAAUGCAGCUUCCUCAUCCUGUUUUGUCUGUCGAUACGAUUCCAUAUGCUUUCUCUCUUCCAUUACUUUGCUAAACUUUCAGAUCUGCUGGUGCUCCUUCUGUCCUCCCCAUUGUCAGUGCUAAUAUGGAUUUGUUCACUUUUUAACUUCUUUAUUACAAUCAUUGGAAUUUUAAUGUGAUUUUUUGAUGGAAUAUUGUAGAGAGAUAACUCCAUGCAUUCGAUCUUCUAUUCUGAACAGAAUGCUUGUCUGGUAUUCUGAAUAACAGUUGACUGAAAACAGCAAUGGCUUGAGGUUUUCUGUCAGUUGGGCUUUAAAAGUGGUGUUCUAACUGGAAAGAGGUGAGAGGAAAUAUAUUUUGAAACUCUUUGCUUGUAGUAGACUCACUGUUUUUAUUUAGGGUAUAUGAUUACUUGACAUGCAUGACUUGAGGGAUAUUGGAGUCUAUGGAAGGUCAAAAGUCACUCAUCCCAAGGUGCCACUAUUGGUUAGAAGAGAUUUUACUGAGUCAAAAGUUGUUAGAUGGAUGCUGGCCUCCUUAAAGAUGGCUCAUCUAUCUUGAGGAAGGGGUUAGGGAAGAAUGGAAAGACAAGUAAUUUUCUUCAUUUUAUUUAACUGUUUUCACAGAGACAACACGGUAUAGACAAUGAAAUGUGUUUUAUGCCAAAUUUCUCAUGUAACGCUCCCCAGUAAAGACACAUACAAGUUAUUUCUAGCAACAUCCUCAAAUUAGACCCUUAAAAUGGUUCUUUCUCCCUUCCUUUCAUAAAGGCACUUACUAUGGACUGAAUUGUGUUCCUGCAAAAUUUAUAUGUUGAAGCCCUGACUGAAUUGGAGAUAGAGCCUUUACAGUGAUAAUUAAGAUUAAAUGAGGGCAUAAGGUUGAGGCUUGAAUCCAUCAGGACUAGUGUCUUUAUAAGAGGAGAAAGUCAUGAGAAGAGAAAAGGCCAAAUGAGGACACAGUGAGAAGGCAGCCAUCUGCAAUCCUAGGAGCAAGGCCUUGGGAGAACCCAAACUGCCAACACCUUGAUCUUGGAAUUCCAGACUCUAGAAUUGUGAGCAAAUAAACUCUGUUGUUUAACCACGGAGUCUGUAGCAUUUUGUUAUGACAGCCCUAGAAAACAAAUACAAUACCCUAAACUUUUCUGGGAGAAAUUUUUGUGACACCCUUAUUUGGAGUCAGUUUCAGCCAGAUGCUGUUUCCCAAUUAUUUCUGACCUUUAUGAAAGUCAAAGAUGAAGUAAUUUGGCAAAAUACUUUGAAAUAAUUUUUCUGCUGGUAUGUACUGAGUUUCAGAGAGAGAAAGAGAGAUACCAUGUAUUGGAUGUUGUUUUGUUUCUAUGUCUGGGCUUGGUCCUCAGGGGAUACAGAAGAUCAAUAAGACAUGGUCUCUCUUCUUAAGGAUUGUUUCCUAUAGGUGGAUCUGCAUUAAAUGACAUGGAUAUGUCCACUUAGUGAUAGACAGAGUGGACAUGUCCAUAGAGUGGAUGGCUUUUGUAAAGUCUAAGAAAAAAAUCCAUAGAGAUGGGAAAUAUCAGCUCAGUUGAAUGACAAGCAGGUUGAAUUGUUUCCAAAGGACUGAAAUGUUCACUAAAUUUUUACUCUGUAUUUUCAAGAGAAUGGGACUCACAAGAUGUUCAGCAUUGCUUCCUAAUUGUCCGUGAUCUUUCAUGCUGGGCUUUCUUUGUUGCUGUUUACUGCUUAGCCUGGACAAUGCUCCUAGUUCCAUCUUUUACCUACUUCUAUACUGAAUGAAGCCUUUAGUGGACUCUAGUUACUAUCUGAGUGUCACUUCCUACUAUACCUGACCUUAAAAGCAAGUUAUGCAUCCUCUCUGUGUUUAAGUGAAGAUUAUUAUCGUUCCUGUUUAACACACUUAAAGUACUCAGCUGACUUUAGGAUAUGUAUUAAAUAUUCAUUAGGUGUCAGUUGUGUCUGGAAGGUACUUUCCCACCUUCAAGGAGCAACUCAAGCUUUUUGUCCCCCUGCUCAGCUAUAUUUGGCAUUUCUCCUUCUGGGCUCCUAGAGCACUUUCAUGUAUCUCUUAUUUCACAUCUCAUGUUAUAGAGAUUUUUAAAAUUAUCUGUCACAUACCCUGGUCUCUGAAAUCAAGAGAAUAUUAUAUUUUAUUAUAAUCUCAGUUUAUUAUAAAGGUGCCUGACACAUAGUAGGUGUUCAAAGAUUGUUGCUGAUUAAAUACUUAUGACCUUGUUGUGGGGGGGAAUAAUAUGUGGUUUUUGUACCAAAAAAAAAAAAUAAUAAAUAAAUGAAUACUUAGGACCAAUUGAUCUUUGAUUUGGGGUAAAGCAUAUAGAAAAAUAAGAGAGGAAAAGAUGGAGUUGAACUAUAGAACAUGGGCAAGAGAGACAUUUAAGGAUUUUAUUAUAUUCAAUUGCUUGGCUGUCUGGGAAUUGGUGAUUAUAAAAUAUCUGAUGUGAUUUGACCCAGUGAAAAUUGGGCAGGUGAAUGAAAUUCUAUUUGGGAAGAUUGGCAUUCUUGAGAAUUGACAAAAGCUGUAUCUUCCAUUAGCUUUAGCGUUAUUUUGGAUCUGAUUACAUGUGGCUAUUAACGCCUGAUCCUAACUACUGUAGAACCUAAUAUCCUCCCAAAUGCCAUCCUCCACAAAUUGCAAAAGUAUCUUCUCAGACAAAAUCUGAGUUUCUCUCAACCUGCUGAGAUGAACUUGCAAUUAUUUUUUGGCCUGGAGAACGUAACUUUAAGACGCAAAUUUGAAAAAUGAAUUCCAAAGCACCAUUAUUGUACAUGUAGAAGAAAUCUUUAUUUUGCAUAUUAUUCACCUUGAUCUGAAUAUUUGAUAUUGCUUGGUUUAUGUGGGGUUUAUGGUAUGUGCUAGGGAUUUUUCUCCUUCAUAAAGGAGAUGGCUCAGCCAUCUACUCAAAGUGAGUUUGAUUUAAAUAUCAUUAUUAGGAAGCUGAAUUGGUUCAGAAGAUUGUGAGACUCAAAGCAAUUGUUCUGCUCAGCUCCCCAAGGACAAAGCAAGGGAACUGAGCCUUGUCCAGGACCAUAGAAGGGUGUCAGCUUGGAUGACAGGCUGGUGUUAGUGAAACAUUUUAAAACAUUGUUUACAUGAGAAUUAUUUUUUAAAGAACUGUGGUGUGAAUCA